rnacentral:lncRNA from 1 species
UUUCUUUUAAUGCUUGAAGGCACAAACUUUCUUCUCAUGCAAGCUUUUAAAUCACACCAAUCAUGAAUGGGAGACUUCCUAUCUUUCCUAACAUGAUAUUGUCUUUCAUCUCACCACUCACUUGCAUGUCCUUCUAACUUAGAGAGAUAAAUGCUAAGAACAUAAGAUUCACUCUCUCUAUAAAACCAAGGAUCUAUUUUAUCAACCUCUUUUUCCCAAGCUAGGUAUGUUAAUGCACCUAUGUCUUUACCAAAAAAUGAAAGAUUCCUAGCUUGAUUAAAAUUUUCAUUAACUUUAUCUAAACUAGACAACCUAUAUGAACUAGAAGACCUAGAAGAAGACCUAUAUGAACUAUAACAAGACAUUUGCAAAGACAAUUUGUGGAUUCUAAGACUCCUAAAACGUACGGACUCUAAUGUGACAAGGUCACACCUACACGUGAAUGACAAAAUCAAAGACAAUAAAAGAAAACAAUUAAAGUUGCCAAGAGUUGGAAAGAGCACUAAGAACUCUUCCAAUCUACUUGGACUUUAUAAAAGGCCAUUUACAAACCAAACCUAAAGCUAAGAGUGACAGUGGGCUGACACAAGCCCAUCAAAUACAAAGAAAAUAAAAAAACCAAAUGAAUUUAAUCCUAUGCUACGACCCAACUUCUUGUUGUCCACUAUGCUGCUACGGUCCAGGUCCUUGCCAAUUUUUCCAUGAAGAUUCACGUGUACGUUCCUGUUGUUUCUAGCAGUUUAAACUUUUCUAACUUCUGGGUUCCACUCUCUUUGGAUCUGAUUCACCACUCCUGCACACAUCACACAGCUUAAUAUUCUUUUGGCUAAACAGAUUGCAAGAUACAAUGCACAAGAUAAAGAAUUAUAACUUCCCUUUUCUCGGUCUUGUACACUUCAUGCAGCUAAUUUAAUUGCUUUGGUCUCCAAUUACAAUCUGCAGCCAGAGUAUGCCAACAUCAACAAUUCACUCAUUGCAAUCAAGUACAAUUAUAUAAGAUCAGUUUAUUCAAAACACAAUCAGUUUAGGGGAGAAGACUCCCUUCAAAAUCAAAACUACACACAAAUGUUGCUGCUACUGUUUCAAGGAUCUAGCUCACCCUUCUCAACCUGCUAAUGCUUACUCAAGCUAAAUUCCAAAAAAUCAAUUAGUUUAUUCACUUACAAAGUAUUACCGAUUCCAGCAAAACACAUAAACAUUGAUAUUAAACCAGAUGUAAAUGGAUGUACUCCAAAGCUGAACUAAACUGAUUUUAACAACCAUAUAAUCUGAUUUAAAAUCUAUUCAAUCCAAUGCAGAAAGAGUGACGCAGAUUCCAUUAGAUAUGAUGCAUAUGUAGUUGAAACAAGUUAUUGUAGAAAUGAAGUUCAGAAUGCAAUCAGAACGGUGUUUGCAACUUCCUAUUUCAUCUAACAAAUUCACUAGAUCUUAUCAAUUCAGAAUCCGCAUUCAACAUGCCCAAGUAAACCAUGAAAUCAAAACUUCCCUUUCACAACCGUGAGUAUAUCAAUGAAUUCAGCAAGCAAUGUUUGAAACUAAAAUGAGUGCAAUGACAGCUUAAACAUUCACAAGCACAAAUAGUAUCACCAAGAAAUCAGUAAGCACAUUCAAGCUUUCAAUAUCUCACUAAAUUCAGCAAACAUUUUACAAUCUAAAUGCAAUGGAAUAACAACUUAAACAAGCACAAAAAUGCUCCAAUCUGAUCUCUCAAUUUCCUUUUCCUGCACAAUGAACAAUCCAAAACAGUAAUCAACAGUUAAGUAAAGAUCAACUUCCUCUCACAAAAUUGCCAAGGAAAAUUAUGCUUAAAACAGCCUCACAGAACUCACAUCACUCAAGGCUUCUCUUUAAAAAUUUUAAGCACAUAAACGCAAGGUUUGGAAGAGAGAUUCUCCCUUGUCAGUUCAAGGCUGGAUAGUCUUUCAGACCACCACCACCUAGGAUGCUACCAAGCACACAAUCCUCUUUCAGAUUCCAAAAAUCCAGAAUGAAAUGCUUCUCAGCCAAUAACAGCACAAAACAUGACAAAGAUCACAGAACAGAAUAGAACAAACAAAGCAAACAGACUCACAAGAAACUCUAGAUUAGAUUUUAAAAACAAGUAAAGCUCAAAAUUAGGAAUGGCAGAUCAAAGUUUACUUGUAUUGGACAAAACCAGAUUUAGCAAUCAAGACAAGCAAGAAAAAGAAACUUAGCAAGGCUGACACACAAUUUGAACCUACCAAUAGCUCUAGAAUAGAUUUAGAAAACAAGAAACCAGUUACAAGUUGAACUAGAAAUGACAUGGUUUUGGCACUGCUUUUUAUUACUGCUUAUAUCUUUCCUUCUUCUUCUUUUUUAUAUAUUGUAAUGUAAACCAAGCUUUUGCUGCCAAUCUUUAUUCAGCUAAUGAUGCACAGAACAACAAACACAUGCAUUUAAAAUUGAAAACAACUUGUAUUAGAAACAAUUAAGUGCCUGAAAUUGAUGGCUCAGAAAAGAAUUUGCACCAGAUUACUUAAACACUCAAUUUUACAGCACAAGCAAGUCCAAAUCAGUGGUUUAAACGUAUAAGUGCUGUCAAUUGAGGCUAAUUAGCUGUAAUUCAAAAUUUGACUAGUUGAGUCCACGUUUCACACCAAUUCAGUCAAAUCAAUUACCAAUUUUGAGAUGCAAAGGUGCAAAUGACUUUUAGGCACUCAAUAGGAAUCAAAAUCAACAGUUAAAAAUUGCACAAAAUGGCAGAACUUGUAAUGGAUGGUUAGCAAAAGAUUUAAGUGCUAUACUAGAUUUAAAAAAAACAAAACUCAACUCAAACAAAGAGGUUGCAGUUCGGUCAAGCUGCUAGGCAAAGAAAUUCUGGAUUCUGCAGUGUGAUACCACCUGAUUGGUUUGUCUGAGACAAAUCACUGUUUAUUUGGUAUGUUUACACACUAUGGCAGUGCAUCAGUUAACACUAGAACUACAAUUUAACUCGGUGCAUUGAAUUCAACCAUUAACAUCAGAUUUGAAACAAAUUUGGAUUUGUGAUUCUACUGGUACUGCACUGUGAUUGACUUCUAGAUGCACUAAGCUCAUUAAUCAUUGCUCAUUUUGUGUGCAUCUAUUGAAAGAUCAAUUCCAGAUAUGCAGAUUCAUCCAGGCACAGGUUCAACUCAGAAUUUGGACAAAAUUCAGCAAAUACACAUGACUUAGACAAAACAAGAUAAGAUACUCAAAAUAAAAUGACUCAAACUAAGGAAUAGACCGAAAUAAAAAUUAUGAAAUCAGACUCAAAGCACAAGAUAAGCACAAACAAAAUCAGGAAUUCUAAUCACAGAAAUGCAGAUUCAAGACCAAACAAACACAGAAACUGAAACAAGAUUCAACAACUCAAAUCAGAAAAAAAAAACAAAUCAAGACAUUACAGGAAAAUGAUAGACAACGUGAAUCAAAAGAAACACAAGCUGAGAAUCAAACUGAAACAAAACACAAAGCUAAUAACAAAGACAAAGACGCGAAUCAAAAUGAACAGAUCAACAUAACAACGCGGAUCAACACAAGACAGAUUCGAAACAAGAUGAAACCGAGACAGAGGAAACCAAAAACAGAGAUCGAGAUACUUAUCUUUGUCGCGUGGACGCAACCUUGCUCUGACUACCAGUUGAUGGAAGACGCCUUGAGGAGCUAUCCGAUUGGCGCGACGCGAAGGCCAGUAAAGCUCCUCCAAGCUUCUCCGACGAGAGAUACGUAGCGGAAUAUGUUAACAACUUCUAGAUUAAGAGAGAAAUCGGACAAAAACUCGAGAUCGACGCAGAAUCAGAGAAGAACAGACUGAAUGAACCCUAGAAAGUGAGAAAAGCUCAAAAGGAACCGAUUAAUCGGUGAGAAAUAGUGUUUGAACGGUGGAAAUGGUUUGGAUCGGUACAAAGGUGGUUUCAAUCGGCUAAAAUCAAAGAAAAUGAUGAAGGAUGAAGGAAAACCUAGCAGAAGCCACAGAUCGGAAAACUUUUCGGUGAAGAUGAAGUGCUAUGGCUGAAAAGGCUGAAGCAAAGAAGAAAGACGAAGAGGAAAGUGUAAUCUGUGAUGAAAACGGACACUUACUUGAGGAACUCUCGAGAGAAAAUGUUUCUCCAGAGCAAACCUAGAAAUGUGAUGAAAUGGGAGAAGUGAGGUCUCGGUGCGUCUGAAUGAGAAAUGAGCUCGUGGUGAUGCUAGCACGAGUCAGAGGAGGACGCGUGGUUGUAACGCUGACGUAGGCACAAGGAUUGUGGCAGUGGAGUAAUGGAUCUCCGUGGAGGAGAGAGAAGCACGGUGGAGUAAUUGGAAAAAUGAAAUAAUGAGGUGUGCUUGGAAGGUGGCUAGAGGGAGUCUUUGGACUUUCUAGCCUAUGACUUUCAAGAGAGAAUAGUUUCUGAAUUUAGAAAAUUUUAUUAUCAUUAAUCUCAAAAGUGAAUAGUACAAGUGAAGAGCUGGGUAUUUAUAGUGACCCAUGCUCCUUACAAACUACACUACAGAUACAAUAAAAUGUAAAAAGAGGACUACAUGAGAC